rnacentral:misc_RNA from 1 species
GAUGAAGAACGUAGCGAAAUGCGAUACGUAAUGUGAAUUGCAGAAUUCAGUGAAUCAUCGAAUCUUUGAACGCAUAUUGCGCUCUCUGGUAUUCCGGAGAGAAUGCUUGUUUGAGUAUCAGUAAACACCUCAACUCCCCUUUCUUUUUUUGAAAUGGGAGCUGGACUUGAGUGAUCCCAACGCUUUUCUCACCGAAAAGUGGCGGGUUACUUGAAAUGCAGGUGCAGCUGGACUUUUCUCUGAGCUAAAAGCAUAUCUAUUUAGUCUGCCUAAAAAACAGAUUAUUACCUUUGCUGCAGCUAACAUAAAGGAGAUUAGUUCUUGUGCUGACUGAUGCAGGAUUCACAGAGACAGCUUCGGCUGGCCUUUGUAAACUCGAUCUCAAAUCAAGUAAGACUACCCGCUGAACUUAAGCAUAUCAAUAAGCGGAGGA